AUCCAGUUGACGAAUCCCAAAUAGGACAAAACACUCGUCCUGGAU
rfam:Schistosoma haematobium scaffold9_52, whole genome shotgun sequence.